rnacentral:lncRNA from 1 species
CAGUAAAUAGGUGAAAUUAGGAAUUACACGUAAUUACUAAACAUUUCAGUAAAUACCUGUAAUUACUAGCCAAUUUAGUAAUUACAUGUAUUUACUAUUUGUUUCAGUGAUUACUGGUAAUUACUGAUUUUUUUUUUGUCAUUUUUACAGCUAUUUACUAACUUGAUGUUUUUGUUUUAAAAUUUAAAAAAACAUUACUCAAGAUACCAAAUAAGAAAGUAAAGAGGUAGGGAUUUUAAGGGAGCUUACUUGGGGAUGUAGGAAUAGAAGGCACAUCAAAAGUGCAUACUCUUUAGUGUUUGUGAAUUGAAACUGGAAAAUGGUUGUUUUAUAGGUCUUUUAACUCAGUAAAUAUAUGCAUGCAAGACAAUGAUAUCAAUUCAAAAUUGAUUUUCAUAAUUUUGUUAAACUAAAAUCUCAAUCAUGCACUGUGGUUUAAAAUUUUAAAAUAACUUUCUCCAAAUAUCUUGGAUUUCUAUCAAACUUGGACAGAAGCUAAAUGUUUAUGAUCAUAAGAUAAUAUCCGAAAGUAAAGAUUUAAAAAAAAAAUCCUUUUUUUUUCCCUAUAUUACUUAUAAACAUGAUAAAUAGACUAGUUUUUUUCCCCCCAGUUAUCAUAACAUACACUCUGCAGUUAAAGUUUUUAAAACAUUAGAUUUUAUAAACUAUCCUGGAUUUUUACCCAAUUUUGACAGAAGCUUCUUAUAGUACUAGUCAAAAGAUAGUAUCUAGAGGAAAAUUUUAAUAUUUUUUCCUUAAUUUUUGUUGAGCCUGCGAUUAACAGCAAAAGUAGGCGAGACUAUUUGUUCUGCAAAACCCUUACAAUUUUAAUAGCUUAAUACAUCGAUAACCCAUCUUCAGCUAGGUGUUGAAUUGAAGGUCACAUGAAUACAAUCAUAUUCAAUGAGGUCCAAAUAUUCACUCGCAAGUGCACAACUCAUUAACCUUGUUUCUCAGCUAAUUUAACAAAAUAGAACAAGAUUGGCUACUAACAGUGAAUUAUAAUUUCACUAUAUCAUUUUUAUAAAUGAUUUAACAAAAAAAAAUAUCUCGAAGCUAAUGCACAUAACAGUUCAUUCCAGUUCCUAACCUUCACAACGUUAUCUGAUCGUUAUAAGGUAAUAAGUCUAAAUAUUCUUCAAACUCAAAGAUUUUUUGAAAAAAGUUAAAACAUAAUGCUUUAGGAGAAUUUUCCAUAUCUGAUUUCCAUGUCUGCUGAAAUUGGUCAAAAUUAUCUGUAUAAUGCUCAACUUUAACCAUUUUGGAUUCAAACUAAAGUUACCCUGAUUUCACCAAAUAUUUGAAAGUCUAUAUUUAUUCAAGAUAUUUUGAAUACAAAUCAACCAUU